rnacentral:rRNA from 1 species
CCUACGGGAGGCAGCAGUGGGGGAUAUUGCACAAUGGGGGGAACCCUGAUGCAGCGACGCCGCGUGGGUGAAGAAGCGCCUCGGCGCGUAAAGCCCUGUCAGCAGGGAAGAAAAUGACGGUACCUGAAGAAGAAGCCCCGGCUAACUACGUGCCAGCAGCCGCGGUAAUACGUAGGGGGCAAGCGUUAUCCGGAUUUACUGGGUGUAAAGGGGGCGCAGGCGGCGGUGUAAGCCAGGGGUGAAAGCCCGGGGCUCAACCACGGGACUGCAUUUGGAACUGCGUGGCUAGAGUGCAGGAGGGGUAGGGGGAAUUCUUGGUGUAGGGGGAAAAUGCGGAGAUAUGAGGAGGAAGAC